UGACGGAGAAUUAGGGUUCGAUUCCGGAGAGGGAGCCUGAGAGACGGCUACCACUACCAAGGUGGGCAGCAGGCGCGCAAAUUGCCCAAUGCACAAACAUCCUGCGAGGCAGCGACGAACCGCAGCAAUCCCGCUGGUAUCUUCACCAGCGGGACUUGGAAUGGAUGCAAUCCAAACACAGUGAUGAGUAUCAACUGGAGGGCAAGUCUGGUGCCAGCAGCUGCGGUAAUUCCAGCUCCAAGGGCGUAUACUAACAUUGCUGCUGUUAAAACACCUGUAGUCUGACACAGGGUUGCAGGUCUGCUGAGCGGCCUGGGGUCGGGUUCGGUGUGGUUGGCCCUCGGGUCGGCCGCGUCGUCCUCGCUCUCGGGGCAAAACCCUCAGCGGUAUGUUCCUGCACCCGAUCCAAUGACGGUGAGAAUGCCCCUGCCGAAAGUCUCCUUCAGUGAAGAUCGAGGCGGUUACGCUGCCAACGCCAGUAGGACACCACGUGGCCAGGGCCCCUCCGCGCCCUGGACUGCCCCACGCGUCCACCACCGGGGCCCACCGUUAUCGACACCGUGGAAAACUCAGUGUGCUCAAAGCGACCUGCCUAUGGCUGAAUGUCUGUCCAUGGAAUGUCAAAGCAUCGACCGAGUGAGGCAGUAGGAGUUGUGCUGGCCUUGGAGCCC
rnacentral:rRNA from 1 species